GGUGCUGUGGCUUAGUUGUUUAAAGUGUCUGUCUCAUAAACAGAAGAUCCAAGGUUAAAAUCCCAGUGGUUCCU